rnacentral:rRNA from 1 species
AUGAAUCAAGGAGGAAGAAAAGAGAAACAAAAUAGCAGGCUGAGAAUUGAAAGAAAUAUUAUGGAAGGGUUGUAUAAAAAAGGAGGGGUGGUUAACGUACCAGAUGAUGAUGAAGAAGAAAUUCAGAUGAAUAUUAGAGAAGCAUUGCGUGACCCGAAUGUCUCUCGCAGAAUUGAAAGGAGAAUUGGCAAGGGGGGUGUGGGUGAUGUGCAUGUUUCUGUUGGUAAAAGGAGUAUCAGCGCCUAUUUUGACAGGCAAUUAUCUAGCAACAAAGUAUCUAUGCAGCCCAAGAUCAGUAGUGCUUUGGAUCCUAAUUCAAGAGAUGCACUUGGUCUAGCUUGGUCCAAGUUUUUUCAUGCCAAUGAUAUUGCUGGACGUAAAGCUGAUUGCCCAUACUUUCGAGCUGCUGUGAAGAUCACUCAACAAUUAGGGCCUAUUCCUAUACCAACCGCGAAGGAGAUUGAUGGGCCAUAUUUGGAGGCCAACUAUGAUGAAGCUAAUUCGUUUCUUAAAAAAUUCAAACAAGACUGGAAGAACUUUGGUGUGACUCUUAUGUGCGAUUCUUGGACUGGUCCUACAGGAAUGAGCAUCAUAAACUUCAUGGUGUAUUGUAAUGCACGAAUGUUCUUCCUCAAUACCAUUGAUGCAUCCGGACAAACUCAGAAUUCAGAGUGUUUGUCUAGUAAUGUUUGGUGGAACGCACUAGAGUGGGUAUUGAGUUCCGAUUGGAGUGGCUGA